rnacentral:pre_miRNA from 1 species
UAACUAUUCCCUCCGUCCAACAAAAAAGGUCUCAAAUUUGUUAAAAUUUGAAUGUAUAGAUGCAUUCAAAUUUAGUCAAAGUUGAGACAUUCUUUGUUGGACGGGAAAAGUAGAAA